rnacentral:siRNA from 1 species
CGACUUUAAAACUUGCCUAUAGG